UCCGGAUUGGUGUAGUGGUCAACAUCUCCGUCUCUCAUCUAAUUGAAACACGGAAGCCCCUGGUUCAAUUCCUGGAUCCGGAA
rnacentral:tRNA from 1 species